UUAGGCAGUUCCCUUCCAGUCCUAGCUUGCUAAGAGUUUUCUUUUUUAUUAUAAAUGGUUAUUAAUUUUUGUCAAAUGAAUUUUAAUGUGUCAAAGUAAUCAUAUGGUUUUUUCUCCUUUCAUCUAUCAAUGUGGUGAUCUAGCAAUGCUUUGGCUUUAUCCCACAUAUUUUAUAUGUCUUAUCUUUAUUGUCAUUCAUUUCAAAUUGUUUUCUAAUUUCUAUUGUAAUUUCUUUUUUUGACAUAUGGAUUUUUAAACAUACAUUGUUUAACUUCCAGGCAGUUGGUAAUCUUCUAGUUGUCUUUUUGAUAUUAAUUGCUAGCUUAAUUCUAGUUAUCAGAGAAUAUACUCUGAAUGCUUCUAAUCUGCUGAAUUCUUUUUUGAGACUUU
rnacentral:lncRNA from 1 species